rnacentral:rRNA from 1 species
UACGGGGGGGGCAAGCGUUGUUCGGAAUUACUGGGCGUAAAGGGCGCGUAGGCGGCCUUCUAAGUCAGACGUGAAAUCCCUCGGCUCAACCGAGGAACUGCGUCUGAUACUGGAAGGCUUGAAUCCGGGAGAGGGAUGUGGAAUUCCAGGUGUAGCGGUGAAAUGCGUAGAUAUCUGGAGGAACACCGGUGGCGAAGGCGGCAUCCUGGACCGGUAUUGACGCUGAGGCGCGAAAAGCUAGGGGAGCAAACGGG